GGCUGGGUGUGUAAGUGCAGCGAUGCAUUGAGCUAACCAGUACUAAUGAUCCGUGAGGCUUAACCUUAC
rnacentral:rRNA from 1 species